UACGGAGGGUGCAAGCGUUAAUCGGAAUUACUGGGCGUAAAGCGUGCGUAGGCGGUUCGUUAAGUCUGUUGUGAAAGCCCCGGGCUCAACCUGGGAAUGGCAAUGGAUACUGGCGAGCUAGAGUGUGUCAGAGGAUGGUGGAAUUCCCGGUGUAGCGGUGAAAUGCGUAGAGAUCGGGAGGAACAUCAGUGGCGAAGGCGGCCAUCUGGGACAACACUGACGCUGAGGCACGAAAGCGUGGGGAGCAAACAGGAUUAGAACUCCGUAGUCAGUC
rnacentral:rRNA from 1 species